rnacentral:rRNA from 1 species
AGGUCCAGCCUGCCCAGUGACUAAAUUAAACGGCCGCGGAACUCUGACCGUGCGAAGGUAGCGCAAUCAAUUGUUCUUUAWAUGAGGACUAGAAUCAACGGCAUCACGAGGAUCCUACUGUCUCCCCCCUCUAAUCAGUGAAAUUGAUCUCCCCGUGAAGAAGCGGGGAUAUAAAUAUAAGACGAGAAGACCCCAUGGAGCUUUAAACCCAGCAACACCUAUCUAUUUUAUUCCCCCAUAUGUAUACGGUUAUGUUUGUUCGGUUUUAGGUUGGGGUGACCGCGGAGCAUAAAAUAACCUCCACGAAGAAAAGACUAAUAGUCUUUAUCAGAGAAAGACAUUUCUAAGAAAUAAUAUAUUAACUUUAAAUGAUCCGACAUUCGAUUAACGAAUCAAGUUACCCUGGGGAUAACAGCGCAAUCCACCUUAAGAGCUCUUAUCGACAGGUGGGUUUACGACCUCGAUGUUGGAUCAGGGUGUCACAGUGGUGCAGCAGCUACUAAUGGUUCGUUUGUUCAACGAUUAAAACCCUACGUGAUCUGAGU